AGCGAACGCUGGCGGCAGGCCUAACACAUGCAAGUCGAACGAACCUUUCGGGGUUAGUGGCGGACGGGUGAGUAACACGUGGGAACGUGCCUUUAGGUUCGGAAUAACUCAGGGAAACUUGUGCUAAUACCGAAUGUGCCCUUCGGGGGAAAGAUUUAUCGCCUUUAGAGCGGCCCGCGUCUGAUUAGCUAGUUGGUUGAGGUAAUGGCUCACCAAGGCGACGAUCAGUAGCUGGUCUGAGAGGAUGAUCAGCCACAUUGGGACUGAGACACGGCCCAAACUCCUACGGGAGGCAGCAGUCUUGAAUCUUGCGCAAUGGGCGAAAGCCUGACGCAGCCAUGCCGCGUGAAUGAUGAAGGUCUUAGGAUUGUAAAAUUCUUUAACCGGGGACGAUAAUGACGGUACCCGGAGAAGAAGCCCCGGCUAACUUCGUG
rnacentral:rRNA from 1 species